AGCAGUCAACAUUGUUUGUUUGGAGCUAGGGGAUGGAAUGUAUUACAUGGACAUUUGCCUCCUGGAACCCAGGUUUCAUAUAUGCCUCCAAAAUAAAGAGCCAAAUACUAGAAGAAAAGCGCCUAUACCUAACAAGAUUAAGUGAAUGCCGAAGUCUUGUAU
rfam:Beta vulgaris subsp. vulgaris chromosome 3, whole genome shotgun sequence.